GCCUUCUUAACUCGAUGGUAGAGCGCACGGCUUUUAACCAUGUGGUCGUGGGUUCGAUCCCCACAGACGGUG
rnacentral:tRNA from 1 species